rnacentral:rRNA from 1 species
AUUGAACGCUGGCGGAAUGCUUACACAUGCAAGUCGAACGGCAGCACGGACUUCGGUCUGGUGGCGAGUGGCGAACGGGUGAGUAAUGUAUCGGAACGUGCCCAGUCGUGGGGGAUAACGUAGUGAAAAUUACGCUAAUACCGCAUACGAUCUAUGGAUGAAAGCGGGGGAUCGCAAGACCUCGCGCGAUUGGAGCGGCCGAUAUCAGAUUAGGUAGUUGGUGGGGUAAAGGCCCACCAAGCCAACGAUCUGUAGCUGGUCUGAGAGGACGACCAGCCACACUGGAACUGAGACACGGUCCAGACUCCUACGGGAGGCAGCAGUGGGGAAUUUUGGACAAGGGGCGAAAGCCUGAUCCAGCCAUUCCGCGUGCAGGAUGAAGGCCCUAGGGUUGUAAACUGCUUUUGUACAGAACGAAAAGGCUUCUACUAAUACUAGGAGCUCAUGACGGUACUGUAAGAAUAAGCACCGGCUAACUACGUGCCAGCCGCCGCCGUAA